rnacentral:rRNA from 1 species
AUUGAACGCUGGCGGCAUGCUUUACACAUGCAAGUCGAACGGUAACAGGUCUUCGGAUGCUGACGAGUGGCGAACGGGUGAGUAAUACAUCGGAACGUGCCUGGUAGUGGGGGAUAACUACUCGAAAGAGUAGCUAAUACCGCAUGAGAUCUACGGAUGAAAGCAGGGGACCUUCGGGCCUUGUGCUACUAGAGCGGCUGAUGGCAGAUUAGGUAGUUGGUGGGGUAAAGGCUUACCAAGCCUGCGAUCUGUAGCUGGUCUGAGAGGACGACCAGCCACACUGGGACUGAGACACGGCCCAGACUCCUACGGGAGGCAGCAGUGGGGAAUUUUGGACAAUGGGCGAAAGCAUGAUCCAGCAAUGCCGCGUGCAGGAUGAAGGCCCUCGGGUUGUAAACUGCUUUUGUACGGAACGAAAAGCCUGGGGCUAAUAUCCCCGGGUCAUGACGGUACCGUAAGAAUAAGCACCGGCUAACUACGUGCCAGCCGCCGCCGUAA